rnacentral:rRNA from 1 species
UACGAAGGGGGGCUAGCGUUGUUCGGAAUUACUGGGCGUAAAGCGCACGUAGGCGGAUACUUAAGUCAGGGGUGAAAUCCCGGGGCUCAACCCCGGAACUGCCUUUGAUACUGGGUAUCUCGAGUCCGGAAGAGGUGAGUGGAAUUCCGAGUGUAGAGGUGAAAUUCGUAGAUAUCAAGCGGAACACCGGUGGCGAAGGCGGCCUUACUGGACAGUGACGUGACGCUGAGA